AGUGAACGCUGGCGGUAGGCCUAACACAUGCAAGUCGAACGGCAGCACAGUAAGAGCUUGCUCUUACGGGUGGCGAGUGGCGGACGGGUGAGGAAUACAUCGGAAUCUACUUUUUCGUGGGGGAUAACGUAGGGAAACUUACGCUAAUACCGCAUACGACCUACGGGUGAAAGCAGGGGAUCCUCGGACCUUGCGCGAUUGAAUGAGCCGAUGUCGGAUUAGCUAGUUGGCGGGGUAAAGACCCACCAAGGCGACGAUCCGUAGCUGGUCUGAGAGGAUGAUCAGCCACACUGGAACUGAGACACGGUCCAGACUCCUACGGGAGGCAGCAGUGGGGAAUAUUGGACAAAGGGCGCAAGCCUGAUCCAGCCAUACCGCGUGGGUGAAGAAGGCCUUCGGGUUGUAAAGCCCUUUUGUUGGGAAAGAAAAGCAGCAGGUUAAUACCCCGCUGUUCUGACGGUACCCAAAGAAUAAGCACCGGCUAACUUCGUG
rnacentral:rRNA from 1 species